rnacentral:rRNA from 1 species
UACGGAGGGGGCUAGCGUUGUUCGGAAUUACUGGGCGUAAAGCGCACGUAGGCGGCUUUGUAAGUUAGAGGUGAAAGCCCAGGGCUCAACCCUGGAAUUGCCUUUAAGACUGCAUCGCUUGAAUCAUGGAGAGGUGAGUGGAACUGCGAGUGUAGAGGUGAAAUUCGUAGAUAUUCGCAAGAACACCAGUGGCGAAGGCGACUCUUUGGCCUGUAACUGACGCUGAGGCGCGAAAGCGUGGGGAGCAAACAGG